GGCUCAAUGGUAGAGUGCUUGCCUUGCAUGCAUGAGGCCCUGUGUUUGAUUCUCAG
rnacentral:tRNA from 1 species